AGAGUUUGAUCCUGGCUCAGAUUGAACGCUGGCGGCAGGCUUAACACAUGCAAGUCGAACGGUAACAGGAGAAAGCUUGCUUUCUUGCUGACGAGUGGCGGACGGGUGAGUAAUGCUUGGGAAUCUGGCUUAUGGAGGGGGAUAACUACGGGAAACUGUAGCUAAUACCGCGUAAUAUCUUCGGAUUAAAGGGUGGGACUUUCGGGCCACCUGCCACAAGAUGAGCCCAAGUGGGAUUAGGUAGUUGGUGGGGUAAAGGCCUACCAAGCCGACGAUCUCUAGCUGGUCUGAGAGGAUGACCAGCCACACUGGAACUGAGACACGGUCCAGACUCCUACGGGAGGCAGCAGUGGGGAAUAUUGCACAAUGGGGGGAACCCUGAUGCAGCCAUGCCGCGUGAAUGAAGAAGGCCUUCGGGUUGUAAAGUUCUUUCGGUGAUGAGGAAGGUGUUUGUUUUAAUAGAACAAGCAAUUGACGUUAGUCACAGAAGAAGCACCGGCUAACUCCGUGCCAGCAGCCGCGGUAAUACGGAGGGUGCGAGCGUUAAUCGGAAUGACUGGGCGUAAAGGGCACGCAGGCGGUGACUUAAGUGAGAUGUGAAAGCCCCGAGCUUAACUUGGGAAUUGCAUUUCAUACUGGGUCGCUAGAGUAUUUUAGGGAGGGGUAGAAUUCCACGUGUAGCGGUGAAAUGCGUAGAGAUGUGGAGGAAUACCGAAGGCGAAGGCAGCCCCUUGGGAAUAUACUGACGCUCAUGUGCGAAAGCGUGGGGAGCAAACAGGAUUAGAUACCCUGGUAGUCCACGCUGUAAACGCUGUCGACUUGGGGAUUGGGCUUAGGGCUUGGUGCCCGUAGCU
rnacentral:rRNA from 1 species